rnacentral:rRNA from 1 species
GACGAACGCUGGCGGCGUGCCUAAUACAUGCAAGUAGAACGCUGAAGGAGGAGCUUGCUUCUCUGGAUGAGUUGCGAACGUGUGAGUAACGCGUAGGUAACCUGCCUGGUAGCGGGGGAUAACUAUUGGAAACGAUAUCUAAUACCGCAUAAGAGUAGAUGUUCCAUGACAUUUUCUUAAAAGCUGCAAUUGCAUCACUACCAGAUGGCCCUGCGUUGUAUUAGCUAGUUGGUGGGGUAACGGCUCACCAAGGCGACGAUACAUAGCCGACCUGAGAGGGUGAUAGGCCACACUGGGACGGAGACACGGCCCAGACUACUACGGGAGGCAGCAGGAGGGAAUCUUCGGCAAUGGACGGAAGGCUGAACGAGCAACGCCGGGGGAGUGAAGAAGGUUGUCGGAUCGUAAAGCUCAGUUGUAAGAGAAGAACGAGUGUGAGAGUGGAAAGUGCACAAUGUGACGGUAGCUUACCAGAAAGGGACGGCUAACUACGUG